CCACGUAUUAGAUACUCACUUUCCUGAAACCCAAAAUCCCAAAAUAUCAAUUCUCCUUCAAUUGUUCUUCGCUGAUUCAUGAUUCUCAAUGACCAGGUAUCAGUACUUAUAUGAUUAUUUCUUGUAAUGUUUAAUCUAUUGUAUCUUCUUCAGACCUAAUCAUCUCGAUUCACUGAUUUGUUAUGGUUGGAGACUGAAACAUGGGUGUUGGGGUUACGCCGUGAACCCUUGAUGACGACAGAAUUGCAUGCUACAGAACAGAUAAUCGAAGGAUUUUGCUCCGAUGAAGUAACCGGCAUACGGCUGACGACUAGGUUCGUUUGAUUUGCUGAGUUUCAAAUCCCGUUCGUUCUCUUCUUCGUCAUCGUGAUCAUUAUCAUCAAAGAUUUGGUUGAAGGUGGGUGUUCAACCAGACUCUCAUUUCGAAGCGGACAUGUUUGGCAACCAAUGCUGUGAUCGAGGAAGCAAUGAUCUUUAUUUGUGGCAUGAACAUCAUUGAGCCUGGGGCCAGAUCUUCUUAGACAACUGGUCUAUAAGAAGACGCAACAGAGUCAACAUAAACUCUAUUAUGCUCAAGUCCAUAACUGUGAUUACAGUAGAUUGGAAUAAGAGUGGGAUACGACACCAAAAGGCUUACAGAAGUGGCUUGAUUUAUUAAAUAAAUUAAAUUAAGAAAAGUUGUUUUAUGUAAUCGGGUUUAUCCCAUAUUAAAAGCUACCUUUGUAAAACAUGAGUUUUAUCCCAUCUAUUUAAAUAAAUAAAAUCCGGUGUUUCUAAAC